GAAAAUCCCAAAUUUUUUCUAUUGUCUUUCACCAGUAUAAAAUGGUGCUUUUCCAAAAUGCAGGUUGGAACCACAAUCACAAACAGGCCCUUAAUGAUUAUUGAUGACUGAAAGAUUAUUACUUUCCAACAUCAAAAAUGAAAUUCAAUAGUUGGCUUUAACAAAAUAUUCUUUCAUAACUACCACGAAAUAGAGUAAGAGGUGCACCAAAGUACAAAGCACAUUGAUAACUGUUGGCCCAGAUAAUUCCCAUAAAAUUAUUGCUCUAUUCUCAUUUAAUAUUAAAUUUUUUUCCCAAUUCCUCCACUACUUUUGCCACAUGAUAAUUCCUAUAAAUGAUCAAACUAGGUUUGAACUUUUAAAAGAUGUGCAAAACUAAUCGGCAAAACAGUAAAUAUCCACAAGUUUCAUGAACAUGUAUAUACUUGAGAGAAUUGCAGAGUGAAAUCUAGAGAUGGUGCUCUGUCCAAAGGACAUUGUAAAAAGUUAAAAGGAUCUUUUCAACUUUAUUACAUAACCUAAAGCAUAACAACUACAUUAAGAAACAAUUCAACAUUUCUUCUUCUUGUUCAAUUCUACCAAGAAAUCCGAGUAGAGUCAGAAUCAUGAUGACUUCCCAUUUGAGUAUAUUUAAUGCAAUUGUGAUGUCAGAUUUAUCAUGCCUGGUAUAAGCAUAACAUCCAAGAGACCAGAUGAAGGCAUCCCAAAUCUCGUAGUGCUAAAACAAGCUACCAUAAUGUC
rnacentral:misc_RNA from 1 species